GCGCCCGUAGCUCAGCGGAUAGAGUACUGGCCUCCGAAGCCAGGGGUCACAGGUUCAAUUCCUGUCGGGCGCGCCA
rnacentral:tRNA from 1 species